UACGUAGGGUGCGAGCGUUGCCCGGAUUUAUUGGGCGUAAAGGGCGCGCAGGCGGUACGGCACGUCCGUUGUGAAAUCGCUCGGCUCAACUGGGCGGGGUCAGCGGAUACGGCCGCACUUGAGCAAGCUAGGGGGCAAUGGAAUUCCCGGUGUAGUGGUGGAAUGCGUAGAUAGUCGGGAGGAACACCAGUGGCGAAGGCGGUUGCCUGGAGCUUUGCUGACGCUGAGGCGCGAAAGCGUGGGGAGCGAUCCGGG
rnacentral:rRNA from 1 species